rnacentral:rRNA from 1 species
GUCAAUCAUCAUGCCCCUUAUGACCUGGGCUACACACGUGCUACAAUGGUUGGUACAACGAGUUGCGAGUCGAUGACGGCGAGCUAAUCUCUUAAAGCCAAUCUCAGUUCGGAUUGUAGGCUGCAACUCGCCUACAUGAAGUCGGAAUCGCUAGUAAUCGCGGAUCAGCACGCCGCGGUGAAUACGUUCCCGGGCCUU